rnacentral:rRNA from 1 species
UACAGAGGGUGCAAGCGUUGUUCGGAAUUAUUGGGCGUAAAGGGCGCGUAGGCGGUGCGGUAAGUCUGUAGUGAAAUCUCUGGGCUCAACUCAGAGUCUGCUGCAGAAACUGCCGUGCUUGAGUGUGGGAGAGGUGAGUGGAAUUCCCGGUGUAGCGGUGAAAUGCGUAGAUAUCGGGGAGGAACACCUGUGGCGAAAGCGGCUCACUGGACCACAACUGACGCUGAGGCGCGAAAGCUAGGGGAGGCAAACAGG